rnacentral:tRNA from 1 species
CGGUCCGGUAGCUCAGUGGAUAGAGCAGGAAAUUGUUUCACCACCCCCUUGUCGCCGUUCUCUCAUCCCGUCGUGAAUGCAGCGAAGACUCCAUCUUGAAAUGAUAGCGGGCGAAAGCCCUUGCGGGUUCGAGUCCCGCCGGACCGC